rnacentral:rRNA from 1 species
GACGUAGGGCGCGAGCGUUGUCCGGAUUUAUUGGGCGUAAAGAGCUCGUAGGCGGCUUGUCGCGUCGUCUGUGAAAUCCCGCGGCUCAACCGCGGGUCUGCAGUCGAUACGGGCAGGCUAGAGUUCGGUAGGGGAGACUGGAAUUCCUGGUGUAGCGGUGAAAUGCGCAGAUAUCAGGAGGAACACCGGUGGCGAAGGCGGGGUCUCUGGGCCGAUACUGACGCUGAGGAACGAAAGCUAGGGUAGCGAACGGG